GUUCCCAGGAUGCUCCUCCCCCGCCAGCGCACUGGGGCUCACGGGCUCCGUGUCCGGGGGCAGGGAGGCCGCGGCCGAGGGGCCGCCGGGGCCGCCGCCAGCAGCGCCGGCGGGGGGAGCGGGCGCAGGAGGAGGAGGAGAUUGAAGAUAGGCAGGCCGAGAUGAGCAGGAGGAAUGUGCCUCAGAGGUAAAGAUGAGGAAUAUGCUCUUGAAAAGAGGGUGACUGCACCUGAAGGCACUGCUCAGAAGAGGAAGGUGUAUGCUGAUGAGCGAGUAAGUCUUUUGAAGAUUCAGUUUGUAGCACUCCAGGCAAUGCUGAACCACAGACUGAAAUGAAUUCUGUAGUGAAAUGCAUUUAGAAACUUGGCUGCAGCCAAUCAGAUUAGAUGUUAAAUAAAAGUUGCAAAAAACCUCAACAUUGGAAUGAAAAGACGGAGUGAUCUAAAUGAGAAAGAAAAAAGGCAUGAGACUUCAGGAGGAAAAGCUGAGGUUCUGCUUUUCUCAAGCCUGAUUUCAAGAAGCAGCAGGAAGAAAUGCAGCCGUGGAUGGGGAGGGAAAGAAAGGUCUGAGGAACGAUCUCCAGUGCUGCAGCAUGUGCUGCUGGCUCCAGAUGUGGCGUGGCAGCAGGGCUGGGCUGCCUCAGCUGCUUGCUGACACCCAAAGGAGAAGAAGGCCUGACUGUCCCUCCUUCCCUGCUUCACCCUCUCACUUCUAGUGAUGAGCUCUGGCCACAGGAAGGGAACUUUGAAGGUCAUCUACCAACCCUGCCAUGGGCAGGAACACCUUCAUGGAUGGAGCCCCAUCCAGCCUGGCCUUGAAUGUUUCCAGGGAUGGAUCCUAAACUUCUCUGUGCCAGUGUUUCACCACCUUCAUAUUCAGCUGCAGCCAACAAAAACCUUGACAGGACCAGAAUCAAAUGCUUCACAGCUCACAUUUUCACAAGCUGGGCCUUACAGAACUUCAAGAACUUCAAAAUGCUCUCACAAAUAGGGCAGAAGUGAAUUGAAACAUCCCAGCAUGGGGAUUUCCCCAUGUCUCAACAAAAAAUAAGAAGCUGGAGAGAGAUUUGUGACUCACCAAAAGCCAAAUUGGAUGGUGAAAUUUUGUGAACAGGAACACCAAUGGCAUUGUAUUUGUUUUUCAAAAGGCAAGACUUCAUUGUGUAGCACUGUCAGUGUACCCCCUUCACAUUCCAAGAUUUGAAGUGUUUCCAUUGUUACAAAGACAUUUACAGAUUGAAAAUCUCAGACCAAUUUUCUGCAUCUUGCUCAACAACACUGCAGCUUCCAGUAUGUUAAAAACAAUAAGAUUCGGUGAAAUAUUACAUAUUCAUUUCAACCCUUAAGCCAAUAACUUAUACUAUCAAGUGGAUUGGAGGCACCAAAUUGAAAGAGAAUUUGCUGUUGUCAGCAUUGACUCAAUGAAGGGGAAAAAGGGGGGGGGGGGUUGUUUCAUCUUAAAAAAUUCUUUAAUUGUUUGUGCCUUAACUGUACAGCCACUGUCAAACAGGAGAACAGCCUGACAUGUUUCCUGUGAGACCUCUGCUCUGGCUCCUGUGCUGAGGAGGGGACACAAGUGGUGGGCAGCAAUUUGCUCAGCAGGACCUAUGGGCUGCAUAAUGCUGGGGCUUGAUAUUUUAAUAAGACGUAAAAUUAAUGGUGGCUACAGCUGUAAGAACAGGAACUGUCCUGACACACUGAACCAAUAACUCCCACAAGUUCUUGACUCUUGAAUUUUGAUCUAAUAUGAUGUUUCAUUCUACUUAAAGGUAUCAUUUUGUCAUCCCUGUAGUGCAAGACAUUAAAGUGCUUCUAGGGGGUAGGUCGGGCUUUGGUUUGAAAGUUAAAUGUGUCUCUCUACAUUCCAGCUUUUAAGCUAUGAAAGAAACAUUAGCUGUGAAACCUGGAUAGCUUUUUAAAUAGGGACAAAUCUCUGGCUUUUUGCUUAACAUCCACUGGCCCACAGUAUUCUAUUUCCUCUCUCUAACCUGGUAUUUACUGUUCAACAUCAAAACAACUUGAUGCAAGUGUACUUUGUCAGAAUUGGUAGUGUGCCAUGCAACAAAUGCUUCCUUUUGAUGCAAAAUUAUGAUCAUAAAAAUAAAACAAGUCAUGUGAGCAGCAAUGUCUAAACCAAACCAGUGUAAUCCACUAGCAGUACUAUAUAUAUAUAUAUUUGACAGAUCAAGUCAUGAAAUAAUUUUCACGCUCCAAUCUAUUACAAGAAUGAAUAGAAAAUUCAUCCAGCAAAGAAGUGGAUUUGCCAAACAACAAAAUAGACUUCUUAUGGUGGUUUAAAAUAUUAAGUCACAAAAAAUAGCUAGUGUCAAUAUGGGCAAUUAAAAUACUCUUCUUUCUGAAGAAAAAGAAGAUGAAACUAUUAAUGAAACAUCAAUAGUUUGAUGGGAUGGCUCAUAUGGAAGAGGGCAGCAGUACAAAAUUUGCUCUUUUCUCUCCUCUUGGCACAGUGCCUUUGUGCAAAGAACAGUCCUGCAGCCUUCGUGUCCCUUUUCCCAAAUGGGAACUUCACUCCUUCCUCGUUGUCCAGAAGAUCUUUCACAUUUCUGUAAAUCAUCUUGCAAUAUGCAAGGUAGCACGCACUUUUUUCAAAAGCAUGUUAUGUUCCAGCAACC